rnacentral:lncRNA from 1 species
UUGUAAAUGUGAGGUUUACGUUUUUGCUUCUCCCCCUUAAGAAACAUUGGGAGUGUCAGAUAUUGAAGGCUUGUGUUUACUUGCCUACAAAUGCAAGGUUGCUAACUCAGAUUCAGCAGGCAAGUAAACUUGUGACCUUGUUCUAAAAAUUAAUAAACCACCAUCAGCACCUCAAACAGAGGGGGAAGCUUACAUCUGCUCAUGUUAGUUCAAGCCUGGACCUGCUUUUCAUUCAGAAUGACCUGCCUGCAAAUGGAGGCUACUGGAUUUUAUGUUACAGACUGCUUGCUAAAGGAGACUGACCCGAGACGCGUGGCAUCAUUAAAUUGAGAACAAUGCUGGACAUGCACCACAACCACACAAGUGAAAGAUACCUACUCACCUUGCGCUAGCUGACUGGAACUCAGCAACCGGGAUUGCUUUGGCAAGGAAGGCAUUGCAUGACAGUCAGUCCCCUGCCACACACUGAGAUCGUCCUGCUGAUGACAUCGGUUGUCCCGAAUCCAUGCAGAAAACCAUGGGGGAUGGAUUUUGGUAGGAGUUCAGGAAAGAGAAGCGCAGACCAAGGAGCAUGAAGAGCUGUACUGCAGUGUUUCUUUACUAGUGAGUUUGUAACUCCUUGGCUGGACUUCCCUUGGUCCUUUGGAGAUAGUGCACUUUCUCCUCUAGGUUGCCCGUCUGUGCUGAGGAGGACUGGGGAGCUGCUGUGCAGGUAUCACCUAGCUGCAGAAAGAUUCUUCAGAAAGCAAACCACCGUGACGUGGACCUUGUCUGAUAUUUAUCUUUCCAGCUGGCGUUCCUUGGUUACCCCACACUCUUCUGAAAAUUGCCAGUCAGCUUUGAAAGGAAGCUGAAGUUGCCAGGUUAUAUCAGGUCCAGGGACUUUCAUAACAGCAGAGAGUAGCUGACGGUGGGAACAGACCAGUGUGCGUGGUUCUGCUGCCACAUCAGAAGCCAACUUCAUCAAAAGAGACACAGUGCCGUUCAUAAGGAAGAAAAGAAAAAGAAUCAUGUUCCUAGGCAGCCAAAAUGCAGAUGGUAGGGGCAUUUAAGGAAAAACACAUAUGAACUAUGCAUUUCAAAACCCAUUAGUCAUUUACAGAUAUAGGCAGGUCAGUCUAAACAACUAAAUCUUGUGCCUGUUUGAAUAAUACUUACAUGAUUAGAGUUAUGACAGCUGCAAAGCAAGGCAGAAGAUUGAGGAGUAAGACCGUAUUUGGAGACUGGGACUGGCAACAGUAGAUUACCCUCGAACAAUCUAUUAAAUAGCAAUCAAUCAGGUAUGAAAGUUGGUCAGUGUCUGGAGAAAGGAAACUCCAAAAGUCUGUGACUGCAAAAAUGAAUAGGGAAGACCGCAGGCAAAGACAGAGGUGUACAAUUACUCCAGAAUGAGUAAACUCCCUUUGAAACUGUAUGCUAACUAUGCGUGCUGACUAACGCUACAUUACUUUUUCUAGUUUGUGAGACAUUCAGGAUUCACUAGUAAAAUACAAAUGGCCAUAAACACUGUAAAUGUUAAAGUGAAAAGCUGUAAAUCAGAGGGGCUGUUAGGUGCUUACAGUCGAAGAAAUGUCCUCGUUUUCUGACAUGCAUGUCAUUUGCAGCUCUCUGGCUUCAGUACUCAAUGGGGUUGAAGAAACUAAUAUCUGAGUAAUGGGAUGCAGAAUUUUUAAAAGGUUCAUUGAAGUAAUUAAAUGAAUGAGUGAUGCUAUUCAACAGUAUGACUGUACCCUAUAGUACCCUUUGGAAAAAGUAUUUAUCUAAAAAAACCUAUAAAUGCUCUAAUAGCAAGGUAUAACACAAGGUGGGCAACAUACAUAUCAAGAUAACUGAACAUAUUUUUAGCCAGAGAAUGAAAUUAUCUGCAGUUUUA